rnacentral:rRNA from 1 species
CCCCUAGAUGUUCUGGGCCGCACGCGCGCUACACUGAACAGUUCAACAAGUCUUAACCUUGGCCGAUAGGUCUGGGUAAUCUUUGAACGCUGUUCGUGAUUGGGAUAGACCUUUGCAAUUAUGGGUCUUCAACGAGGAAUUCCUAGUAAACGCAAGUCAUCAGCUUGCGUUGAUUACGUCCCUGCCCUUUGUACACACCGCCCGUCGCUCCUACCGAUUGAAUGGUCCGGUGAAGCGUUCGGACCGUGGCCUUUGGACGGUUCGCCGUCUGUUGGCUGCGGGAAGUUCGUUAAACCUUAUCAUUUAGAGGAAGGAGAANUCGUANCA